GGGAAAACGGACUCGCUAGGAGGACCUAGACUCUUUCAGCUUGAACUGUUAACCAAUGGUGGAAAUGCAAGAAUGCUGAAGUUGUGCCUUCGGAGCCAAUAGAGUGGAUUUGUGUGUCCCACAUGACUGUGUUUCCCCUGUCUUUCACAUGGGCAGUAUUUAGUUCAAUUCAGAACUGCAGAUAGUAUAGCGUACAGAGCAGCAAUGGGAUGUCUGAGCACAAGUGGCUGACUUCCAGGCGACUUCGGGAAGCCCAUUUAUAGAUUUCUCCUGAAUUAAACUGGGAUUCUGCACCUUUGACAUCCUCUGACCCUCCUUGUCUCUGCAGAAGGAGACAGCGACCUGCACAGCACAACAGAACUACAAAUGGCCACAGAGCUGCAGCCCAGCAAAAGAAGCAAACCGAGGGCAAUUUGACCAACAUCGUCUGUGUCGGUUCCUCAGAAGUCAAUGAAACGUAUUAUCAGGUCUCCAAGGUACAUCCCAGAGAUUAGCUGGUCAUGCCAUACAAUUAGCAGAUGAUUAGAACAAGCUGUUUGCUUCGAUUACAUUAAGAUACUUAGAGGAGUGAGAGCUAUUACCCUGCGCAGAAGCAUGUCCCUUCCCUGAUGAUGUUGUGUAUUAGCACUUCAUUAACAGUGUGCCAUCUCAGCCAAAGGACCAGGCAGCACAGUGCUUUUCAGGUACGAGGAAAAGAUCAUUGUGAAACUCCACCUGACUCAUUUGGCCAAAUCAAAAAGAAGUUUGGGCAACUGCCAGCUCCUUGCACAAAGACUGAAAUAGGAUGGGCAGAAAAAGGUGUUGGUAAGAGAAAACAAAAAAAGACUGAAGUUGCAUCACCUGUAUGAUUAAAUAAUUAUGUCAACUUUUAUUCCCCCCACCCCACUCCUUUCAGACAUUUGAGGAUGCUGUCAAUCAAUGGAGUUCUGUUGUAGUGGUUGCUUCAGUGAACAUUCAACGCUGUCGGUGAGUUUGGAGUUAAAGUGAAAACCAUCGACCGUUGAUUGUACCCUCCAGCUAACCAUCCUCCUCCUUACUUCAUGCUUUCAGGCCUUAACACCGAAGAUAGCAACCUAAUCAUCACAUGGUGUUUCUCCCCUACCCUGCCAAGCUUUACAAAAAGGUCACAAUCAACAUUCAUUGCUGUCGGUGGGUUUAACUAUGUGGACAAGCUCACUGAACAAUGAAUGCAACUGUGGCCCCACAUUUUACAGUUGCUGUUGAGAGGAACAUCCAGCUCUGAAAGCAGUAGUGAGAAGCAGCACUUCUUACAGGUUGCAUUUUUUUCUGGUCAAAGAUGUAGCUGGGCAUGUUCAAGUUUUACUUGCUUGUUUUCCAGUGUAUUUAACUUAGCUGACUAGGAAUAAAAGAAGUAAACCACUGCUUUUCUUUGGAAUAUCGUCCUGCUGUAGUCUUAACAUCAUUGAAAGCAUAAUGUGUGUUCAAAAUGUCUGUGGAAAUCAGUAGCAGCAAGGGGAACAUUGUGUAUAGCCACUUUUAUGGAGAAAAGAACACUUAAGUUGCAUUUUAACUAAGUGCUGUGGGAUAGCUCCAAGAUUUCUUCUAUACUUGUCAUAACAAGUACAAACGAGAGCCAGAAUUCAAAGAAACACACAAGGUGUUGCAUCAAAAAGUGAAUUCAUUUUGUGUAAAACUGAUAUUAAGCACCUAAAUCACUACUGUUAGACAACAAAUCCUACUACAUUUGCCCUUUGAGAGAUUGGAAGGGUGACAGAGAAAUGUAUAUUCAGAAGUAAUAAUGGAACUGUAGUUCAAUUGUAAAAUGACUGUAAAUUUUGGGUACCUGUGUCACACUCUCAGUACUGCUGACAGUAAUAAGAAAAUAAAAGUGGAAAUGAAA